AUUGCAUAUAAGGAAUGCAGUAUAGCUAGGGAAUGACCCCUAGGUCGUCUCCCAAAGACCAAUUUUGCGGUUCGAGAAUCGAGUCUAACACAAAAAGAGGGGGGAGGGGUUGAAAGUGUGUUGCAAAAUUUAAAGAACUAAAUAAAAAGACAGAUGCAAACAAACUAAUUAAAGCUAGCAUGGUAAUUAAACUAACACUAUUAAAAACCUUAGACAACAUUCAAACAUCAAAUACUCUUGCAAGCAAAUUAACAAACACAAUUAAAAUUAAUUAAACUCAACACUAAUUCAUUAAACUCAACCUAUCAACCAAAUUAAUUAAAAACCAAGGAAACCAACAAGCCUAAUUUAAUCCUAACAAAUCACUUGACACAAUGGCAAUUAACAAAUGAAUUUAAAAAUCCAAUUGGCCAAAUAAAAGCACAUGGCCGUGAGUGAUGUUUCAAAGGUCCAAAUUCAAAAUUCUAUUUUCAUUUAACCACCAAAUGUGUUGUCUUUUGUCCCAUGUGCACCAAUUCUCAAAAGAAACUAAAAUAUACUUAAACAUCCAAUUGAAAACCAUUCCUUAGUCUUCUCCAUGCAGCAAAAUUCGAAAUCCACACUCCAAGACCACAAAAUGUCGAACCUACCAAGUGAUUCCUACAAAAAAUACUUCAAAAACCCAUGUGCAAAUGGAAGAUACAUUGUGUGCUCCAACCAAAGUGCCAUGUAGGCAAGACCAAAUGAAAUUAAACAACCAAAGACCUCCCAUGCAAAGGCAAUUCAUGGAUGGAAUUCAAAUAAAGCCAAAGCUCAAAAUGGAAAUCUUCCUAGAAUGAAAAUGAGCAUCUUUUUUUGUUUGCCCAAAAGUGGUAAAAAAUUAAUGCAUCAUUCUCUCUCCUUUCUACAUACCAUUUUCGUUUCCUUCACCAACACACACCUUCAUAAUCUUUCUUCCUCUCCUCAAUACCAAGAAUGAGCACCCAAGAGACC
rnacentral:lncRNA from 1 species